AUCGCUUCUCGGCCUUUUGGCUAAGAUCAAGUGUAAAAAUAAACCACAUAUUUUAAUAGUGCAGGUUUAAUCAUUUAAAACUAUAAUGAGAAUCUUGUGCUAGACAGUCAAUUUUUCCCCACCUUUC
ensembl:snRNA U2 U2 spliceosomal RNA